CUGUAGACUCCAACAGGCCUUGGUUUAGGCUGUAGACUCCAACAGGCCUUGGUUUAGGCUGUAGACUCCAACAGGCCUUGGUUUAGGCUGUAGACUCCAACAGGCCUUGGUUUAGGCUGUAGACUCCAACAGGCCUUGGUUUAGGCUGUAGACUCCAACAGGCCUUGGUUUAGGCUGUAGACUCCAACAGGCCUUGGUUUAGGCUGUAGACUCCAACAGGCCUUGGUUUAGGCUGUAGACUCCAACAGGCCUUGGUUUAGGCUGUAGACUCCAACAGGCCUUGGUUUAGGCUGUAGACUCCAACAGGCCUUGGUUUAGGCUGUAGACUCCAACAGGCCUUGGUUUAGGCUGUAGACUCCAACAGGCCUUGGUUUAGGCUGUAGACUCCAGCAGGCCUUGGCUUAGGGUUUAGGCUGUAGACUCCAGCAGGCCUUGGUUUAGGCUGUAGACUCCAGCAGGCCUUGGUUUAGGGUUUAGGCUGUAGACUCCAGCAGGCCUUGGCUUAGGGUUUAGGCUGUAGACUCCAGCAGGCCUUGGUUUAGGCUGUAGACUCCAACAGGCCUUGGUUUAGGGUUUAGGCUGUAGACUCCAGCAGGCCUUGGCUUAGGGUUUAGGCUGUAGACUCCAGCAGGCCUUGGUUUAGGCUGUAGACUCCAGCAGGCCUUGGUUUAGGGUUUAGGCUGUAGACUCCAGCAGGCCUUGGCUUAGGGUUUAGGCUGUAGACUCCAGCAGGCCUUGGUUUAGGCUGUAGACUCCAGCAGGCCUUGGUUUAGGCUGUAGACUCCAGCAGGCCUUGGCUUAGGGUUUAGGCUGUAGACUCCAGCAGGCCUUGGCUUAGGGUUUAGGCUGUAGACUCCAGCAGGCCUUGGCUUAGGGUUUAGGCUGUAGACUCCAGCAGGCCUUGGCUUAGGGUUUAGGCUGUAGACUCCAGCAGGCCUUGGCUUAGGGUUUAGGCUGUAGACUCCAGCAGGCCUUGG